rnacentral:rRNA from 1 species
CAACAACGAAGAGUUUGAUCCUGGCUCAGGAUGAACGCUAGCGACAGGCUUAACACAUGCAAGUCGAGGGGCAGCGGGGGUGAGGCUUCGGCCUUACCUGCCGGCGACCGGCGCACGGGUGAGUAACACGUAUGCAACCUGCCCAUAGCAGGGGGAUAACCCGGAGAAAUCCGGACUAAUACCGCGUACAAACCCCGGGAGACAUCUUCCGGGGUUGAAAGGGAGGCAACUUCCGGCUAUGGAUGGGCAUGCGGCGCAUUAGCUAGUUGG